UGAGGAAUAUUGGACAAUGGGCGCAAGCCUGAUCCAGCCAUGCCGCGUGCAGGAAGAAGCAUCUAUGGUGUGUAAACUGCUUUUGUACGGGAAGAAACACUCCUUCGUGAAGGAGCUUGACGGUACCGUAAGAAUAAGGAUCGGCUAACUCCGUGCCAGCAGCCGCGGUAAUACGAAGGGGGCUAGCGUUGUUCGGAAUUACUGGGCGUAAAGCGUGCGCAGGCGGUGAUGUAAGACAGUUGUGAAAGCCCAUCGCUCAACGAUGGAACGGCCAUUGAUACUGUUAGACUUGAAUUACAAGGAAGUAACUAGAAUAUGUAGUGUAGCGGUGAAAUGCUUAGAUAUUACAUGGAAUACCAAUUGCGAAGGCAGGUUACUACUUGUGGAUUGACGCUGAUGGACGAAAGCGUGGGGAGCGAACA
rnacentral:rRNA from 1 species